rnacentral:rRNA from 1 species
AAGGGGCUUCGGUCCUGAGUAGAGUGGCGAACGGGUGAGUAACACGUGGGUGAUCUACCUUCGAGUGGGGGAUAACGUCCCGAAAGGGACGCUAAUACCGCAUGACGUUCUGGGUUUAAAGACCUGGAAACCAAAGCCGGGGACCGCAAGGCCUGGCGCUUGAAGAGGAGCCCGCGUCCGAUUAGCUAGUUGGCGGGGUAAUGGCCCACCAAGGCGACGAUCGGUAGCCGGCCUGAGAGGGCGGACGGCCACACUGGAACUGAGACACGGUCCAGACUCCUACGGGAGGCAGCAGUGGGGAAUUGUUCACAAUGGGCGCAAGCCUGAUGACGCAACGCCGCGUGGGGGAUGAAGGUCUUCGGA